ensembl:miRNA MIR548H5 microRNA 548h-5
ACAAAAGUAAUCGCGGUUUUUGUCAUUACUUUUAACUGUAAAAACCACGGUUACUUUUGC